rnacentral:rRNA from 1 species
GCCUAAUACAUGCAAGUCGAACGGUCUUUCUAUGGAAGCUUGCUUCCGCUGAGAAGAUAGUGGCGAACGGGUGAGUAACACGUGGGUAACCUGCCCAUAAGAGGGGGAUAACAUCCGGAAACGGGUGCUAAUACCGCAUAGUUUUCUUGAUCGCAUGAUCGGGAAAGGAAAGACGGCCUUUGUGCUGUCGCUUAUGGAUGGACCCGCGGCGUAUUAGUUAGUUGGUGAGGUAACGGCUCACCAAGACGAUGAUACGUAGCCGACCUGAGAGGGUGAUCGGCCACAUUGGGACUGAGACACGGCCCAAACUCCUACGGGAGGCAGCAGUAGGGAAUCUUCCGCAAUGGACGAAAGUCUGACGGAGCAACGCCGCGUGAGUGAAGAAGGUUUUCGGAAUCGUAAAACUCUGUUGUCAGAGAAGAACAAGUUGGAGAGUAACUGCUCCAGCCUUGACGGUAUCUGACCAGAAAGCCACGGCUAACUACGUGCCAGCAGCUGC